UAAGUCCAACACUGAGUGCGGUUGUAUGGACAUGGCCCAGGGAGGGUGAAAGGCCCGUGGGGGUGGAGGCCAGACAGGUUGGUAUCGCUAUAUGAGUAGACCUUGGAGUCGGGUUGUUUGUGAAUGCAGCCCAAAGUGGGUGGUAAACUCCAUCCAAGGCUAAAUACUGACACGAGUCCGAUAGCAAACAAGUACCGUGAGGGAAAGUUGAAAAGUACUUUGAAGAGAGAGUAAACAGUGCGUGAAACCGUUCAGAGGUAAACGGGUGGAGUUGAACUGCAAGCUUUGAGGAUUCAGCUGGUGAGCGUGGUUUGAGCUUGGUUAUACUGGUCGGCCAAUCGAGUUCGCUUAAUUGCGGGUCCCUGUCUUUGACAGGGAUGCAUGGGCACUUGUCAAGUGCUACGCGCUCGGAGUGGUUCACCGGGCCAGUUCACCAGUGCACUUUCUCAGAGUAGUCACCACGACCGGCGCUGCUGUUGGUCUACUGGUGUCAAACCCGACGGUUGUGGUCCUUGUGGCCUUAAUCGUUGGGGAUGGCAGGUAGCUCGUUGGCUUGUCUUUCGAGUGUUAUCAGCUGGCAUCAGUGGUAUUGUGCAGUGCGUCGGAGACGGCGGCUUGUGGUGUUGGCAUGCGUGCAUGUUUUGCUGGCAGUGCCGGGUUUGGUUGCCAUGUUGCCUGUAAAAGCAGGCCUGGUGAUAGCUCGGUGUUGUUUGGCAGGCAGUGGCGUGUGUUACAC
rnacentral:rRNA from 1 species